CUGGCGGCAUGCCUACACAUGCAAGUCGAACGCGAAAGGUUCCUUCGGGAACCGAGUAGAGUGGCGGACGGGUGAGUAACGCGUAGGAAUCUGCCCAUGUAGUGGGGGACAACUCGGGGAAACCCGAGCUAAUACCGCAUACGCCCUACGGGGGAAAGGGGGCCUCUUCUUGAAAGCUCCCGCUAUUGAUGAGCCUGCGUCGGAUUAGCUAGUUGGUGGGGUAAAGGCCUACCAAGGCGACGAUCCGUAGCUGGUCUGAGAGGACGAUCAGCCACACUGGGACUGAGACACGGCCCAGACUCCUACGGGAGGCAGCAGUAGGGAAUAUUGGACAAUGGGCGCAAGCCUGAUCCAGCAAUGCCGCGUGUGUGAAGAAGGCCUGCGGGUUGUAAAGCACUUUCAGUUGGGAAGAAAAGCAUUAGGCUAAUAUCCUAAUAUUUUGACGUUACCAACAGAAGAAGCACCGGCUAACUCUGUGCCAGCAGCCGCGGUAAUACG
rnacentral:rRNA from 1 species